rnacentral:misc_RNA from 1 species
AAGAGUGGUCAACUAAAAGAGCAAAAUUGCUUGAGAAAAGGGUAAGGAGUGUUGAGGCAAAAGAAGCAUUUAGACUUCAGAAAGAGAACAAUUUUGUGAUUCUUGAUGUACGACCUGAAGCCGAGUUCAAAGAGGCUCAUCCAGAAGGAGCUAUUAAUGUCCAGAUAUACAGGCUAAUAAAGGAAUGGACAGCUUGGGACAUUGCUAGGAGGGCUGCAUUUGCCUUUUUUGGCAUAUUUUCUGGAACUGAAGAAAAUCCUGAAUUCAUACGACUUGUUGAGUCAAAAAUAAAUAAGGAUGCAAAGAUUAUAGUCGCUUGCUCAUCCGGUGGUACAAUGAAGCCUACCCAAAAUCUUCCCGAGGGCCAACAAUCAAGGUCACUUAUUGCUGCAUAUUUGCUAGUUCUAAAUGGUUACACUAAUGUAUUUCAUUUGGAGGGAGGAAUCUAUAAUUGGUACAAAGAAGAAUUACCAGUAGCUUCAGAAGAAUGAAGUUAAACCACCUAAACUCUAUCGGAUAAAUAUGCUACCUGCUGUACCAUUUUUCUUUUGUACAGACAAGGCAUUAGAAAAAUCAACUGAGAUUCAUAAUGUAGAUUAUUA